rnacentral:lncRNA from 1 species
CUGGCAUGGCCCUGUCAUGGCCUCGCCUGGCCUGGCCCAAGUUAAUGAAUCGUAACCCACUUGCACCAUAUGAAAAUUAAUUACCAAACUAGUUCGAAAAACUUUUCGCCACAGCAAAAGUUAAACGCACCGAAAAAAAGUUAAGGGAAGCCAAAGGCUGGGCCAACCAAUCAAUUUUCGUCUGCGACAAAUGGAAUGCUCCAAAUGGACCCAAAAAUCGUUAAUCAAAUUAAAAUUUAUUUCGUAUUUUGACGCAAACUGCAGUGCAGACAUGGUCCAGCAAAUUUAUCAUGGAAGCCAAUGUAAAAUCCAGCAGAUACUCGUACUAAUAUGUCCUUGUGUGUGUCUGUGUGUACGUGUCCGCAUAAUUUUGAUGGUUCGCUUCGAAGAGGUUUUUUUUGGUAAUUUCUCGUUUGCUUUUAGCGACCAGGCGGCGCAUAAAUUUGCAUCUCAAAUGGCUGUUUUGCGCUGCCGCUGCCGCUGUCUUUGCUGCUGCUGCUGCUGCUGUUGCUGCUGCUCCUCCUGUUGCUGCGCUGCCAGUGUUUGACCAGUGUUGCCAAAGUCCUUGUUGUGGCUGACGAUUUGCCAUUUUAAUUAGGCAAUGUCCUGUCAAAAGCAGGCUCUAACUCUGGCUCUGGUUAUGGGUUGAGAUAUACAGAUAGAGACUGUGAUUUGAC